rnacentral:rRNA from 1 species
AACGAACGCUGGCGGCAUGCCUAACACAUGCAAGUCGAACGAGGCCUUCGGGUCUAGUGGCGCACGGGUGCGUAACGCGUGGGAACCUGCCCUUAGGUUCGGAAUAACUCCCCGAAAGGGGUGCUAAUACCGGAUAAUGUCUUCGGAGCAAAGAUUUAUCGCCUUUGGAUGGGCCCGCGUUGGAUUAGCUAGUUGGUAGGGUAAUAGCCUACCAAGGCGACGAUCCAUAGCUGGUCUGAGAGGAUGAUCAGCCACACUGGGACUGAGACACGGCCCAGACUCCUACGGGAGGCAGCAGUGGGGAAUAUUGGACAAUGGGCGAAAGCCUGAUCCAGCAAUGCCGCGUGAGUGAUGAAGGCCUUAGGGUUGUAAAGCUCUUUUACCCGGGAUGAUAAUGACGGUACCGGGAGAAUAAGCCCCGGCUAACUCCGUG